rnacentral:lncRNA from 1 species
AUGAUUUUAAAAGAAGAAAUGGGCUUUAAGAGAUUGCAAAUAUGACCUUCGACUUUACAGAGAGCUGCUGAGAUCUUGCUUGCUGUCUGCGUGUCACCUUGCGCUGCCGUGUAUCUGACAUCAGGUGAAACUUCAGUGCUACAGAUGAACCCAGAGGACGUGGUACUAAGUGAAAGAAGCCAAGCACAGAGAGA